GAUCUGGCAGCAGUGGGGAAUAUUGGACAAUGGGGGCAACCCUGAUCCAGCCAUGCCGCGUGUGUGAAGAAGGCCUUAGGGUUGUAAAGCACUUUCAGUGGUGAGGAAGGGUGCGUAGUUAAUACCUGCGUACUUUGACGUUAGCCACAGAAGAAGCACCGGCUAACUCUGUGCCAGCAGCCGCGGUAAUACAGAGGGUGCAAGCGUUAAUCGGAAUUACUGGACGUAAAGCGCGCGUAGGUGGUUUGUUAAGUCGGAUGUGAAAUCCCCGGGCUCAACCUGGGCAUUGCACCCGAUACUGGCAGGCUAGAGUACGAGAGAGGGAUGUGGAAUUUCCUGUGUAGCGGUGAAAUGCGUAGAUAUAGGAAGGAACACCAGUGGCGAAGGCGACA
rnacentral:rRNA from 1 species